GAGAGAGGGAGUGGAAAGUUUGUUUAUUUAGUGGGUGGAUUAUUUUGUAUUUCUAAAAAGAUUAUAAGUUUUGAAAAUGUUAAUUGAGUCCACAAUUAACUUAAUUUAAUAGUUAAGUGUGUUUGACCUUUUCUUGGUCAAAAUAGUUACCAAUAGUUAAUUCCAAACUUGAAGGAUACCUUUCCUUCAAUUUUCUCAGGUUUCUUGCUACUUCGAUUUGUAGAUACUUCUAUAGAUAGAUCUAUCUAACUAUGUACCUUGUUAUUCAAUUCAAGCACCACAUCCGCUUCAUACCUCGACAAAAGAGAUGAAAAAAUGGGAUAUCUUCAUAAAGCACACGGUACGAUUGCAUUUUCAAUAACCAUAUUCAUGCUUUCCUCCUGGUGCUGCUGAUUCUCCAUAUUCUGCUCUAAGGUUUGAAAAGGAGACGUCCUUGGUGAAAGAAUAAGUAUUCAAGUUAUCAUUUGUUUUGUUGCCUCCUAGAACUGGAAACUCCAAACUACUUGUUAACAAAGGAUGCCACCUUCAAAGGCUGACCUCCACCGACGCCGGACAUAAGUUUAGGCAAUCAUAGGGUAGGGUUUGAGUACUUUGCUCUUUCAAAGUCUAGUCAAUAGACACUUUUGUUGAUAGAACCUUCACAGGUUAAAUUACUCAAUUAAUUUAACAAGUAUUUUACGUUUGUUAAUCAUCAAAUUAUCAUAUGAGUCAAUAAAAAUUACACUUGUAAUA